AAAAUAGAUACAUUAAUUAUUAUUUAAUAAUUGAACUAAUAGUAUGAUGACACUUGUCCAAAUUGGAUGAGAAUAAUUACUCAAAGUUUCUCGGAAGAGAAACUCAACUCUCCUUCUCUCCUACUUUUUCUCUCUUUUUUCAUACUUUUUUUUUUAAUUAUUAUUUUUUUGGUUGGGUAUCUCAUUGAGAUACUUCCAAUGGAGAUGCUCUUACAUUGGGUAGCAAACAAAUCCAAAAGCAAUGAAUGAAAUGGGAGAAAAGUAGGAAAAGCAAAGAAUUCUUAUUCCUUGAUUCCCUCAUCUCCUCCACUUCUU
rnacentral:sRNA from 1 species